rnacentral:rRNA from 1 species
AUUGAACGCUGGCGGCAUGCCUUACACAUGCAAGUCGAACGGCAGCACGGACUUCGGUCUGGUGGCGAGUGGCGAACGGGUGAGUAAUGCAUCGGAACGUACCCGGUAGUGGGGGAUAACUACCCGAAAGGGUGGCUAAUACCGCAUAUACUGUGCGCAGGAAAGCAGGGGACCUUCGGGCCUUGUGCUACCGGAGCGGCCGAUGUCAGAUUAGGUAGUUGGGGGGGUAACGGCCUACCAAGCCUGCGAUCUGUAGCGGGUCUGAGAGGAUGAUCCGCCACACUGGGACUGAGACACGGCCCAGACUCCUACGGGAGGCAGCAGUGGGGAAUUUUGGACAAUGGGCGCAAGCCUGAUCCAGCCAUGCCGCGUGAGUGAAGAAGGCCUUCGGGUUGUAAAGCUCUUUCGGACGGAAAGAAAUCGCGCAGGCUAAUACCCUGCGCGGAUGACGGUACCGUCAUAAGAAGCACCGGCUAACUACGUGCCAGCAGCCGCUGUAA